UCAUAUUAAAAAAAAAAAUAUUUGAAAACGAAAAUUCAAUGGAAUUUCACAUAUGAUUUGAAAAAUAUCCUCAUAUAAGCAAUUUAAUUAAAUAUUAUGUGGAAUUAGAACUGUCUUCAUAACAAUAAUGGAGUUUCCUUAAAAUUGGUCGAAAAUAAUACAUCUGAAAGAACGCAAAACGAAAAUGGAAAUAUGAAGAAGAUAAAUAUACUGAAUGGGAUACGAUAAAUACUGAUUGGGCAGGAAUGGCAACAAUUUUAACUCUUUUCAAUAUCAUAAAGGAAAUAUUGAUUAUUGCAAUAACAAUUUUUUAUAAUUUUGCAACAGAUUAAUAUUAUUAAAUGUUAUUACUGAACCUAA